GUCCCGAUGCACACUGUAGUGUUCAGGCAUAAUGCUUAAAUUUAACUUAAAGUAUUUUCCUCGUUACAAUUUUUAUUCUUUCUGCUUGUUAAAAGGACAGUCAGCUUGUCCACACUUAUGAAUUAGUUUCUUGACAGCAGAAGAAAAUACUAAAUGGAAGUAAAUAAUUAUGCAUUUUACAGCUUACCCUGCUUGGACUUUUUGCUGACUUUUGUUCACUGAAGCGUUCUAUGGAUGACAUUCAAGUGGAUCAACUGAGAGCUGCGUGGGCAAUGCUAGUUGUCCAUCUAUAUAACUGGUGUAUGCUUGGUGAUGGAAAAAAAGUCUUUGUACGAGGCAAAAUUACCUGCGUAUAAGCCUGAAGAGUCAAGCACUUCGCAACUCCUAGGUAAUGUGUUAUGCGUAUUUUGAGAAAUGAUAGGGGAAACAGUUGUGUACUCCAAGCAAAAUUUAUUAGAAGUCUACUCAAGAAAAAACCACAAAGACCUUUUGCUUGUAGGAAUUCAAAGUCAGUUACCUGAAAGCCAGGUAUGAAAAACCUGUAUUCUUCUAAAAUCAGUUACAGAGUAGAAACAGUACUUUUAAAUAUCACAGGCAACAGAUACUUAAGUCUUCAAUCAUAAAUGGCAUCAAAGAUAGGUAUUAAUCUCACAGCAAAGCUGCAUGCAGAUCUAGUUUAAAAUUGAAAGCCUUUGAAUAUAAAGCUUUUGCCAUGAAAUCUGCAAUAAUAAAGGUAUGCUGCACAAAGAUGUUUCUUUACCUUUGUCUUAAUGACAUUUCUCAGUAAUAAAGACAUAUGUACAUUUAGAAUUGGCUGGUAAACCAUAUUUUAAUUAAUAAAUUUUUGCAUAAAAUGCUAUCUUACAGAAUUGCACUAUCCAGAUGUGCUUAUGGUAAAUAGAGCAAGAAAAGAAAAAUGCAUUGAAAUGUUCUGUAUAUGAAGAGGGCAAAGAUCAAAUAAGGAACUUAAUUUUUUUUAAAAUCAACAACCAAAUGGCUCUGUACAAAAAAGCAAACAUAUGUACAAAAUGCUACAGAGACUACAUACACUUUGACAAUUUCAAUCCUUUACUCAUGAGAAAUGCAGUAGAAGCUUUUGCCAUCUAUAAGGUGCUGAAGAAACCAAAUCUGAUUUUUUAUUUUUAUAAAGCCAUAGUCAUUAUCAUCCUGUGCCUUAAUUUCAUUUUUUUAUUUAUGUUUACCUUUUGCUUAUGGAAAAUGUAUGUUUUCAAAUACUUAUUUCAUUCAGGAAAAAACCCCAAACAACCCACCUCUACAUUGUUUCAGUUUUAAUACUUGUGACUUUUUUCUGUACUAAAUUCCUUAAAAGAACGUGUAACUUGGGUUUUGUUAACAUACAUACAUACAUAUAUAUAGUGAAGUAAAUCAGUACAUGAUACUUGUGAAUGUUUUUCAGGUGGCUAUGUUAGGAAAAAAAAACCCAUCAACCCUUUGCACUAACACUGUUUACUUCCUGCUUCUUAAAAUUCCCAUGUUACAUAAAAACACUAACCUCUCAAAUUUCACAUUGCUUACUAUUACGACAUUUGGUUGCAACCAUUUAGUGUCAGACAUCAGCAGCAGGUUAUUUAUUAUCUAUGCUUGUAUCAUUGUCUGUCUCUUCAUUAAAUCCUCCUUCCCAACGUUGUAUACCUCUUGCCUUUCUUACCUUUUAACAGAAAACACUACAGCUUUAUUAGGGGAAAAUGAAAAAAGGUUUAGCCAAUAUCAUUGCACCCGUUCAGAACACUUGCAGUUCUUUCUUUUUUUCACUACGCUUGCUUGAGAUUUUACAAUCACUGUGCAUACGUUACAACAUACAAGUGCAGGCAAAAAGAUCUAUAUUAUAAUUUGUCAUACACUGUAAACCAGUACAAUAGGCAAACCUGUGAUACGGCAAAGUGAAAGCAACAAAUGCUGCCAAGCUAGUAAGAAUGUGGAAACUCAAACCAUUAAAAAAAAAAAAUAGUAAA